CCUACGGGAGGCAGCAGUGGGGAAUAUUGGGCAAUGGGCGCAAGCCUGACCCAGCAACGCCGCGUGAAGGAAGACGGCUUUCGGGUUGUAAACUUCUUUUCUCAGGGACGAAGAAAGUGACGGUACCUGAGGAAUACGCCACGGCUAACUACGUGCCAGCAGCCGCGGGAAUACGUAGGGGGCAAGCGUUAUCCGGAUUUAUGUGGUGUAAAGGGUGGGUAGGCGGGAGCGCAAGUCAGAUGUGAAAUCUCAGGGCUCAACCCGGGGCCUGCAGUUGAAACUGCGUUUCUUGAGUGCUGGAGAGGCAAGCGGAAUUCCGGGUGUAGCGGUGAAAUGCGUAGAUAUACGGAAGAACACCAGUUGCGAAGGCAGCUUGCUGGACAGUAACUGACGCUGAGGCGCGAAAGCGUGGGGAGCGAACAGGAUUAGAUACCCCUGUAGUC
rnacentral:rRNA from 1 species